GCCCCGCUAGCUCAGUCAGUAGAGCAUGAGACUCUAUCUCAGGGUCGUGGGUUAGAGCCCCACAUUGGGUG
rfam:Cricetulus griseus cell line CHO-K1, whole genome shotgun sequence.